AGAGUUGAGUCUGGACAUCAGG
rnacentral:miRNA from 1 species